CACGUAGUUAGCCGGGGCUUCUUAGUCAGGUACCGUCAUUAUCUUCCCUGCUGAUAGAGCUUUACAUACUGAAAUACUUCUUCACUCACGCGGCGUCGCUGCAUCAGGGUUUCCCCCAUUGUGCAAUAUUCCCCACUGCUGCCUCCCGUAGGAGUCUGGGCCGUGUCUCAGUCCCAAUGUGGCCGUUCACUCUCUCAAGCCGGCUACUGAUCGUCGCCUUGGUAGGCCGUUACCCUGCCAACUAGCUAAUCAGACGCGGGUCCAUCUCACAGCGAUAAAUCUUUGAAGGAACCUUCAUGCGAGAUCCCUUGUAUGCGUAUUAGCAGCCGUUUCGGCUGUUGUCCCCCUCUGUGAGGCAGGUUACCCACGCGUUACUCACCCGUCCGCCACUCAGUCAUUACCAUCUUCCCUCCGAAAAGUUCCGUCGGUAGCGCUUCGUUCGACUUGCAUGUGUUAAGCACGCCGCCAGCGUCAUCCUGAGCAGGAUCAAA
rnacentral:rRNA from 1 species